ACGUAAUAGAUACCCGGGUAGUCCACGCCCUAAACGAUGUCUACUAGUUGUCGGGUCUUAAUUGACUUGGUAAACGCAGCUAAACGCGUGAAAGUAGACCGCCUGGGGAGUACGGUCGCAAGAUUAAAACUCAAAGGAAUUGACGGGGACCCGCACAAGCGGUGGAUGAUGUGGAUUAAUUCGAUGCAACGCGAAAAACCUUACCUACCCUUGACAUGGAUGGAAUCCCUGAGAGAUCGGGGAGUGCUCGAAAGAGAACCAUUACACAGGUGCUGCAUGGCUGUCGUCAGCUCGUGUCGUGAGAUGUUGGGUUAAGUCCCGCAACGAGCGCAACCCUUGUCAUUAGUUGCUACGAAAGGGCACUCUAAUGAGACUGCCGGUGACAAACCGAAGGAAGGUGGGGAUGACGUCAAGUCCUCAUGGCCCUUAUGGGUAGGGCUUCACACGUCAUACAAU
rnacentral:rRNA from 1 species